AAAGUGAUAGCAUGGAUGAUACUUAUUAAUUUAUUUAUUCUUUUUUAAUUCCAAUAUAUCUUUAAAAUUAAAAGGGAAAAUCUAACAAUAAAUUCUUUUUAAGCAGCUUUGUCUCCAUAGCGGAGUUUUCGUCAAUAACAACGAAUCAUUAGACAUCAAUUGUUUUCAUGCAUUGCAAUCAUUUUUUCCUUAAAAUAAAUUUAGAUAUCUUAUUAUUUUCUACAUAAGAAAAUGCCUGUACCAAGUCAGGAACAUGACAGUUGUUAUUCAUUCGUUUGAUGUGUUUGAACUUUUGAUUUUGUCAUUUGAUUAGGGACUUUCCUUUUCGAAUUUUAUUCAGAGUACAGUAUUAUUGUGAUUUUCCUUUUUAAUAGAUAGUGACAG
rnacentral:lncRNA from 1 species